rnacentral:pre_miRNA from 1 species
CUUGUACUCCCUCCGUCCGAAAAUACUUGACAUUGAAAUGGAUGUAUCUAGAUGUAUUUUAGUUCUAGACACAUCCAUUUUGAUGACAAGUAAUUCCGGACGGAGGGAGUACUUG